rnacentral:rRNA from 1 species
CGCGUAGGUGGUUUGGUCAGUCAGAUGUGAAAGCCCUGGGCUUAACCUGGGAAUUGCAUUUGAUACUGCCAGACUAGAGUAUGGUAGAGGGAAGUGGAAUUCCGGGUGUAGCGGUGAAAUGCGUAGAUAUCCGGAGGAACAUCAGUGGCGAAGGCGGCUUCCUGGACCAAUACUGACACUGGAGGUGACGAAAGCGGUGGGUAGCAAACA